UAGGGAAUCUUCCGCAAUGGACGAAAGUCUGACGGAGCAACGCCGCGUGAGUGAUGAAGGUUUUCGGAUCGUAAAACUCUGUUGUUAGGGAAGAAUAAGUACGAGAGUAACUGCUCGUACCUUGACGGUACCUAACCAGAAAGCCACGGCUAACUACGUGCCAGCAGCCGCGGUAAUACGUAGGUGGCAAGCGUUGUCCGGAAUUAUUGGGCGUAAAGCGCGCGCAGGCGGUCCUUUAAGUCUGAUGUGAAAGCCCACGGCUCAACCGUGGAGGGUCAUUGGAAACUGGGGGACUUGAGUGCAGGAGAGAAGAGUGGAAUUCCACGUGUAGCGGUGAAAUGCGUAGAGAUGUGGAGGAACACCAGUGGCGAAGGCGACUCUUUGGCCUGUAACUGACGCUGAGGCGCGAAAGCGUGGGGAGCAAACAGGAUUAGAUACCCUGGUAGUCCACGCCGUAAACGAUGAGUGCUAAGUGUUAGAGGGUUUCCGCCCUUUAGUGCUGCAGUAAACGCAUUAAGCACUCCGCCUGGGGAGUACGGCCGCAAGGCUG
rnacentral:rRNA from 1 species